UCUCCGUUGGUGAACCAGCGGAGGGAUCAUUACAGAGUUUUCACAACUCCCAACCCUUGCGAACCGUACUCCUUCUGUUCUCGUUGCUUCCGGCGGGGGGGACGGGGGGGCCGGAAACGUCCACCCUCCCCCGCCUGCUGUGUGCGGCGGUCCCUACGCAAUUAUUUAACCCUUUCACCAGAAACCGUCUUGGAAAACAAACAAAAUAAUAAAAACUUUCAACAACGGAUCUCUCGGCUCUGCUACCGUCGAAGAAUGCAGCAGAUUGGUAGAGAUCAC
rnacentral:misc_RNA from 1 species